rnacentral:rRNA from 1 species
GAUGAACGCUGGCGGCGUGCUUAACACAUGCAAGUCGAACGGGAUCCCAGGAGCUUGCUCCUGGGUGAGAGUGGCGAACGGGUGAGUAAUGCGUGACCGACCUGCCCCAUACACCGGAAUAGCUCCUGGAAACGGGUGGUAAUGCCGGAUGCUCCAGUUGACCGCAUGGUCCUCUGGGAAAGCUUUUGCGGUAUGGGAUGGGGUCGCGUCCUAUCAGCUUGAUGGCGGGGUAACGGCCCACCAUGGCUUCGACGGGUAGCCGGCCUGAGAGGGCGACCGGCCACAUUGGGACUGAGAUACGGCCCAGACUCCUACGGGAGGCAGCAGUGGGGAAUAUUGCACAAUGGGCGCAAGCCUGAUGCAGCGACGCCGCGUGCGGGAUGACGGCCUUCGGGUUGUAAACCGCUUUUGACUGGGAGCAAGCCCUUCGGGGUGAGUGUACCUUUCGAAUAAGCACCGG